UGGUAUAGCUCAGUCGGUAGAGCGACGCACUCGUAAUGCGUAGGUCGCCGGUUCAAGUCCGGCUACC
rnacentral:tRNA from 1 species